GAGUUGCUACCUCAGUGGUAGGGUGCAUGCUUUGUAUGUAUGAUGUCCUGGGUUCAACUCACAGCUAACUAU